ACUUACCCUGAAGGCCUGUUUCCUAGGCAACAGACAGGGGACUUGUUCCUCAUCCUAGUCUAGGGGAAAGUCCCUGACCCCAGGCAGAAAGUGCCAUAUGCAUGCAGACUGUCCCUACUUCUCACAUUAAGUCUGCCAACAAAUUGUGCUGCUAUGAACAUAUGUGUACACAAAUCUUUUUGGAUGGGUGUGUUGGGUUCCUUAGGCUAUAUCCCUAGGAAAGGAAUUGCAGGGUCAUAGGGUAGG
rnacentral:RNase_MRP_RNA from 1 species